GUAAACUGACCUUAGCGUGUAAGCAACAUCGGGCGCGAUUAGUACUUAGAUGGGUGACCGCUUGGGAACGUCGCGUGUCGUUGGCC
rnacentral:rRNA from 2 species